rnacentral:tRNA from 1 species
GGGCGAAUAUCCCGUAAUUGGCAGCGGUACUGUCUGUAAAACAGUUGGCUUCGGCUUCUGAAGGGUCAAGUCCUUCUUCGCCCA